rnacentral:lncRNA from 1 species
GAACAGAGAGGAGCAGAUACCCUGGAAAGCCGAAAGUUUUAUUGACCAAAGACUGAGUCUCGGAAUGUUUUGAUUGUGGAGUUUAUAGAGUUCAGGCUGAAGUUUUAUAAAAAUAACUUGCAGCAGCAUGGAGGACUGAUGAGAAAGUAGACAGAUGCUGGAAGCAGGAAAACUGAACAGCAGGUCACUGGCCAAGGAGAAUCAAAGAGCUAGAUGCUGAGAAUAAUGCAGCCAUAACGUGAAAUCUUUUUGAGACCACUCACUCUGGGAGAAAGCAACUGGCUAUGUCAUGAGGAAAUUGAAACCACCUAUGGAGAAAGGCCCACAUGAAUUCUGUAAGUCUGCUACGGUGACAUUUCUGGUUAGGAGUCAGAGUGGAUGGGACACUGAGCAAUAAGACUCUGAUUUUGGUCUUGACUGUGGCUACCUGGAAAGAGAACUGAAAUAUACAUCCUUACUUGUAACCGGUUGUGGUCAUACAGCUAAGUUUGACCAAGAAGAAGAUGCAGGUGAACUGUAAGUCCUUAAUGAGAAGGAAAAUAAUGCCUUACCUUUCUUUUGCUCCUUCUCACUGGCCAGAAUGCAGAGACAUGAUGGCUGAAGCUGGAGCUUUUCCCUGAAGCAACCACCUGUUGGAAACUUCAUGUUGAAGAUGACUGAAUAAUAAGACAGAGGGGUCUGGGUCCCUGGUGGAUAUUCCAGAUCUGGGUGUUCGUGGAGAUAUGAG